AAAUGUGUUGAAGCCGCCAGCUUUACUACUUUACCUAUACAACUAUUACUAUCGCCAUCUUUAAUGGCUACUGUUUUAAAAACAUGUCAUAUUUUUGAUAUUUUGGACGUUCUAACGAAAAGAUGAGAAAGCAGUUACUAAUGAACAUAAUUAGAAGUUCUAAAUAUAUUUUAUUGUAAUUAUAUUAGAAGCUAAUGAUAUAAUAUUAAUUUAAAUUUAUCAAAUAAAGUGGAUUUAUACUUGAUGAACUUUGGAAAUAUAAAAUCUAGGAAACAAUACUAAGUAAUGAAAAAGAAAACCUAAUAAGACAACUAAAAGUAUUAACAGAAACCACAAAUGGACAAGUUUUAUUUAAGUCUUAGCUUUUAAUUAAUUUAAGUGUUAUAUUAAGUACCUGAAAAUUAAUUUGACAAUGAGGGAUGAAGCAUUUUAUGAAUAAUGUAAAAAAGUAAGAGGAGUGGAGUGGAACAUUACCUUAAUAACAGGAAACAGUAACUGUAACUAUGUUCUUCCACAUUUAAUCGUAAUAAGUUCAGCAGUUUGAAUGUUAAUAAGAUAUUUAUUAUAAACAAACUACAUUUGUAGAUUUUGGGAAGAAUUAUAUCUUUAAUAACUAUUAUUAAUUACAAUUGUUGUGUUGAGGACGAUUUUUUUACUCCCCCAGGGCAGUAAAAAAAUCGUGAUUGUUUGUAUUCAUAGUAAUUGUAUGAAUUCAUCACAUCAUGUAACGUUAGGUUUUAUGAAUUGAACAAUUUUUUGUAUAUAACAGCACACAAACAAGAUAUUGAUAUUGUUGCCAAUUAACACUUACAUUUAUUAGUUCAUUAUCUAUAUACAUGAAUACAUCUACAUUAACGUAAUAGUGCAUUUAAUUUGGUGCACCUGUGUGUGUUCAGUAGUAAUAUCUGUAUUGUAUAAUAAGUUGUUACAAAGGUUUAUUUAUAUAUUUAUACUAUGCAACAUGUUAAGGAAGGUAGUCAACAGAGGUGCCUUAUUUUAAUAAAAAAUAACAAAGACAAACAUUUUUAUUUUACUA